AUUGAACGCUGGCGGCAGGCCUAACACAUGCAAGUCGAACGGUAACAGGAAGAAGCUUGCUUCUUUGCUGACGAGUGGCGGACGGGUGAGUAAUGUCUGGGAAACUGCCUGAUGGAGGGGGAUAACUACUGGAAACGGUAGCUACUACCGCAUAACGUCGCAAGACCAAAAAGGGGGACCUUCGGGCCUCUUGCCAUCGGAUGUGCCCAGAUGGGAUUAGCUAGUAGGUGGGGUAACGGCUCACCUAGGCGACGAUCCCUAGCUGGUCUGAGAGGAUGACCAGCCACACUGGAACUGAGACACGGUCCAGACUCCUACGGGAGGCAGCAGUGGGGAAUAUUGGACAAUGGGCGCAAGCCUGAUGCAGCCAUGCCGCGUGUAUGAAGAAGGCCUUCGGGUUGUAAAGUACUUUCAGCGGGGAGGAAGGGAGUAAAGUUAAUACCUUUGCUCAUUGACGUUACCAGCAGAAGAAGCACCGGCUAACUCCGUG
rnacentral:rRNA from 1 species